GUUUCGGUAGCUCAGUUGGUAGAGCACCUGUACGAGGUGAGCCAGGAGGAUAACUGCCAGGAGGUCGCAGGAUCGAAGCCUGCCCGGGAUU